GCANCCUGACGCAGCAACGCCGCGUGUGGGAUGACGGCUUUCGGGUUGUAAACCACUUUCAGUGAUGACGAAAAUGACGGUAAUCACAGAAGAAGGUCCGGCCAACUACGUGCCAGCAGCCGCGGUAACACGUAGGGACCGAGCGUUGUCCGGAUUUAUUGGGCGUAAAGAGCUCGUAGGCGGUUCUGUAAGUCGGAUGUGAAAACUCAGGGCUCAACCCUGAGACGCCAUCUGAUACUGCAGUGACUAGAGUCCGGUAGAGGAAGAUGGAAUUCCUGGUGUAGCGGUGGAAUGCGCAGAUAUCAGGAGGAACACCAAUGGCGAAGGCAGUCUUCUGGGCCGGUACUGACGCUGAGGAGCGAAAGCAUGGGGAGCAAACAGGAUUAGAUACCCUGGUAGUCCAUGCCGUAAACGUUGGGCACUAGGUGUGGGGUCUUCUAACGGAUUCCGUGCCGUAGCUAACGCAUUAAGUGCCCCGCCUGGGNNGUACGGA
rnacentral:rRNA from 1 species